AUCCAACUGACGAGUCCCAAAUAAGACAAAUACGCGCCCUGGAU
rnacentral:hammerhead_ribozyme from 1 species